rnacentral:rRNA from 1 species
UACGUAGGGGGCAAGCGUUGUCCGGAAUCAUUGGGCGUAAAGCGCGCGUAGGUGGCCCAGUAAGUCCGUUGUGAAAGUCAAAGGCUCAACCUUUGAAAGCCGAUGGAUACUGCUGGGCUCGAGUCCGGAAGAGGCGAGUGGAAUUCCUGGUGUAGCGGUGGAAUGCGCAGAUAUCUGGAGGAACACCAGUGGCGAAGGCGGCAUCCUGGACCGGUAUUGACGCUGAGGCGCGAAAGCUAGGGGAGCGAACGGG